UGCCAGCAGCCGCGGUAAACGUACCGUAUCAAAAAAAAAACGGAAUUACUGGGCGCAAAGCGUGCGCAGGCCCCUUGUGCAAAACCGAUGUGAAAUCCCCGAGCUUAACUUGGGAGUUCCAUUGGUGAAUGCCCGGCUAGAGUGUGUCAGAUGGUGGUAGAAUUCCACGUGUAGCAUUGAAAUGCGUACAGAUGUGGAGGAAUACCGAUGGCAAACCCGCCCCCUGGGAUAACACUGACCCUCAUGCACGAAAGCGUGGGGAGCGAACAGGAUUAGAUACCCUGGUAGUCCACGCCCUAAACGAUGUCAACUAUUUGUUGGGGAUUCAUUUCCUUUGCAAAGAAGCUAAAGCGUGAAGUUGAACCCUGGGGAGUACGGUCGAAAGAUUAACACG
rnacentral:rRNA from 1 species